GGAGGGAUGGCCGAGUGGACGAAGGCGGCGGUCUUGAAAACCGCUGUGGGCUUACACCCACCGGGGGUUCGAAUCCCUCUCCCUCCG
rnacentral:tRNA from 2 species